rnacentral:rRNA from 1 species
AUACGGAAGGCAGCAGUGGGGAAUCUUAGACAAUGGGGGAAACCCUGAUCUAGCCAUGCCGCGUGAGCGAUGAAGGCCUUAGGGUUGUAAAGCUCUUUCAGUGGGGAAGAUAAUGACGGUACCCACAGAAGAAGCCCCGGCUAACUCCGUGCCAGCAGCCGCGGUAAUACGGAGGGGGCUAGCGUUGUUCGGAAUUACUGGGCGUAAAGCGCACGUAGGCGGAUCAGAAAGUCAGAGGUGAAAUCCCAGGGCUCAACCUUGGAACUGCCUUUGAAACUCCUGAUCUUGAGGUCGAGAGAGGUGAGUGGAACUCCGAGUGUAGAGGUGAAAUUCGUAGAUAUUCGGAGGAACACCAGUGGCGAAGGCGGCUCACUGGCUCGAUACUGACGCUGAGGUGCGAAAGCGUGGGGAGCAAACAGGAUUAGAAACCCUGGUAGUCCC